rnacentral:piRNA from 1 species
CAGAUCUUUACAUUCAGAAGUA